rnacentral:rRNA from 1 species
AUUGAACGCUGGCGGCAGGCCUAACACAUGCAAGUCGAGCGAGCGGCGGACGGGUGAGUAAUGUCUGGGAAACUGCCUGAUGGAGGGGGAUAACUACUGGAAACGGUAGCUAAUACCGCAUACCAUCAGAUGUGCCCAGAUGGGAUUAGCUAGUGGGUGGGGUAACGGCUCACCUAGGCGACGAUCCCUAGCUGGUCUGAGAGGAUGAUCAGCAACACAGGGACUGAGACACGGUCCAGAAUCCUACGCGAGGAAGCAGUGGGGAAUAUUGCACAAUGGGCGAAAGCCUGAUGCAGCCAUGCCGCGUGUAUGAAGAAGGCCUUCGGGUUGUAAAGGACUUUCAGCGGGGAGGCGUUACCCGCAGAAGAAGCACCGGCUAACUCCGUGCCAGCAGCCGCGGUAAUAC